GAAUAUUGCACAAUGGGCGAAAGCCUGAUGCAGCAACGCCGCGUGAGGGACGACGGCCUUCGGGUUGUAAACUGCUUUUACCAGGGAAGAAAACGCCCCUGCGGGGGUAACUGACGGUACCUGGUGAAUAAGCACCGGCUAACUCCGUGCCAGCAGCCGCGGUAAUACGUAGGAUGCAAGCGUUGUCCGGAUUUAUUGGGCGUAAAGAGAACGUAGGCGGCCAUUUAAGUUUGGUCUUAAAGACUGGGGCUCAACCUCAGGAAUGGAUCGAAUACUGGGUGGCUAGAGGACGUCAGAGGAAGGUGGAAUUCCCAGUGUAGCGGUGAAAUGCGUAGAUAUUGGGAGGAACACCAGUGGCGAAAGCGACCUUCUGGGACGUUCCUGACGCUGAGGUUCGAAAGCUCGGGGAGCAAAC
rnacentral:rRNA from 1 species